GCGAACGCUGGCGGCAGGCUUAACACAUGCAAGUCGAGCGGGCCCUUCGGGGUCAGCGGCAGACGGGUGAGUAACACGUGGGAACGUACCCUUUGGUUCGGAAUAACGCUGGGAAACUAGCGCUAAUACCGGAUACGCCCUUUUGGGGAAAGGCUUGCUGCCGAAGGAUCGGCCCGCGUCUGAUUAGCUAGUUGGUGGGGUAAUGGCCUACCAAGGCGACGCUCAGUAGCUGGUCUGAGAGGAUGAUCAGCCACACUGGGACUGAGACACGGCCCAGACUCCUACGGGAGGCAGCAGUGGGGAAUAUUGGACAAUGGGCGCAAGCCUGAUCCAGCCAUGCCGCGUGAGUGAUGAAGGCCUUAGGGUUGUAAAGCUCUUUUGUCCGGGACGAUAAUGGCGGUACCGGAAGAAUAAGCCCCGGCUAACUUCGUG
rnacentral:rRNA from 1 species